rnacentral:rRNA from 1 species
CACGUAGGGCGCAAGCGUUGUCCGGAAUUAUUGGGCGUAAAGAGCUCGUAGGCGGUCUGUUGCGUCCGCUGUGAAAACUCGGGGCUUAACCCCGAGCCUGCAGUGGAUACGGGCAGACUAGAGGUAGGUAGGGGAGAAUGGAAUUCCCGGUGUAGCGGUGAAAUGCGCAGAUAUCGGGAGGAACACCGGUGGCGAAGGCGGUUCUCUGGGCCUUACCUGACGCUGAGGCAGCGAAGCGUGGGGAGCGAACAGG